CAUGGAGAAGGUGAGAGACUGAAGUCGAAGAAGAUCUGAUACAGAACGGGAGCUCCUGUCCCGCCGUGGCAGCUGGGUGUCCUGAAGACCGUCUAGGCAAAAAGAAUUUCACAUGCCAGAGACGACCAAGCAACUUUGGCCACAAAGACUGCCUGGAGGAGAGAUUGUCAAACUUCCUUGGAACAGGGACCUUCCUGGAAGAAAUAUUUGAAAUCUAGUUUUGAUACCUCAGAAAGUCUAAUGAACACCACCACUUCUGCCAACAUCAGUCUUAGAGAAUAAGAAAGUUAAAUGGGUUCAUUACACCAAUCCCGAUGUUGCGGACCUCACUGCCUCUCCUCAGAUGGACUUCACUGAUAGUUUUCUUUGAUGCUGGAUGUCAAGAGAAUUCCAGCCAGGUGACCGGGCACUGCAACGGCACGGUGUCAAAGGCUCCGCCUCUCCACCUCGUUCAUGUCUGUGCAAUCCUCCUUCUGUAAUGUCACCUCAUGGUCCAGGAGAGAUGCUCUAGAUCCAGCCAUCACAUCUGCACAUUAAUCCACAGCAAGUAAAAUAAGGAGUGAAGAAAUUCACUUUACAUAUGGAAUGACUUUACGACUUGCAGGAUACUACCGUUGAAAUCCCAUUGGCCAGAAUUUAGUUACAUAUCCACCUUUAACUAAAAUGAAAGCUGAUAAAUAAGUAUCAUCUUCACUUGGGCACCAUCUACCCAGCUGGAAAUCAGAAUUCUAUUGCCAAAUGGAAUGGAAAAUGAAUAGUUAGGAAUAUUAGGUAAUCAUUGUAAUGUAUAUGUUUUGUAUUCACAAUCCAAGAUAUUUUAAUUAAAUAGGAAUCACCAUGACAAAGACUGGCGGUGCCUCUUUUUAGAGGGAGAGGUGAGGGUGCUCAUCAGCCUUUGGAUUUUUCAGGCGCUCUUGAUAAUGCGACCUAAGUUUAAUGAGGUUCGGAAAAUUUUCAUUGUAAGUAAUAGAAAUGCAACCCUCUUCUUGGCCCUAUGAUUCUGUAUCAAUUUACCUGCAGCACUAUGACUGUCUGAAAGUAUUUUUAUCUUUAAUUUGCUUAUUCUUUUCUUCUAUGGCCCCUUCCUCUAAGAUGUAGUCUCCACAAAGGCAAAGAAACUGUCACUCAUAUUCAGUCAUAUACACACCACGGCUGUGAGACGGCCUGAAAAUACAAGCACCUACAAAUUCGUUGAAUGGAUUUCUUUUCAGUUACAUUUAUAAAGCUUUCUUUCCAACUAGACCAUGUGUGUUCUACUUCCAAAAGCUCUGCUCACUUACCAGUUCUCCUCCCCCUUUCCUCACAGAGGACCAGCUCCAUGGAAGGGACUGUGGGCGGAAGAGGAUAAGCAGACCCAUAAACGGGCUGAGUGUGAGGAGGACUUGAUAAACAAGAAAACUUUAGGAAUUUAGUAGUUGAUAUAUCUUUUAGAUCCCUUCAAUAGAGUCCUUCAAAAGUCCUAUAUGGCCAAAACUUCAUGCUAAAAUUUUCUAGAGGGCAUGUAUAAAAUAAACCAAAACAUGUAAACAUACAAUUUUUCUGGUACAUCACAAAUGUAAUAUAAAUGUUAAUGUUCAGUACUAGUGCUAUCAAAUUAUUCCAUAUUAAUUGCCUUUUCUUAACUAUUAGGAACACUUCAGACUGGCACCUAAAGGUUACAUGUCUACCUGAGAAUUUAAAAGACAAAUCAAAAUCAGGGACAAGUCAAGGGACCAUAAAUGCUACAACAGUCACCCUUGUUAGAGACUGCUCAGCUCAGCUAAACAGACAAAUGCU